GGUUGAUCUCCUAGGCCGUGCAGGCAAGCUCCACGAGGCCUUUGAAUUCAUAGAAAGAAUGCCUUAUAAACCAAAUGCUAUUAUUUGGAGGACUCUGCUUGGAGCCUGUGUAAAUCAUAACAGUCUUGCAUUAGCAGAGGAAGCAAAGGAGAAGAUCAAUCAGCUAGAACCCCAUCACGAUGGCGACUAUGUGCUUCUAUCAAACGCUUAUGGUGAAGUUGGAAGAUACACUAAAAAAGCUGAGCUUAGAACCUCCAUGCAAGAGAAGAGAAUUAGUAAGAAACCUGGAUAUAGCUUGCUGACAGUGGACGAGGAGAUUCAUGAGUUUGUAUCAGGAGAUAGUUAUCAUCCUGAAUCAGAGGAAAUCAGGAAAUUCCUAGUCUGUAUAAUUGAUAGUCUUAGAGAUGAGGGGUAUACACCACAUACCUCCAAUGUGUUUCAUGACAUUGAAGAGGAGGAGAAAGAGCAUAGUCUUAGCUAUCACAGUGAAAAGUUAGCGGUUGCUUUUGCUCUUCUUAGGUUUAAGGACAGAAGAACCAUAAGAAUCAUGAAAAAUGUCCGAACUUGUCGCGACUGUCAUUGCUUCCUGAAGCAUGUCUCAGGCAAGUUUGAUAAAGAAAUUAUCGUCAGGGAUCGGAAUCGGUUCCAUCAUUUCAGCAAUGGAACUUGUUCUUGCCAAGAUUAUUGGUAAGAAAUGCUCCACUUUUAGCCCUCUUGACCUACCUUUCUUUCAAGAAAAGAAAAGAAAAGAAAUGAAAACCCUAAAUCGUUUUCCAAAGACUUCCACUACCUGUAGAAUCAAAUAAUCAAAUACUUGAACAAAGAUAACCAAACAAUAACAAGAAAGCAAGUAAAUAUGAAUUAUAACUAAACAUCAAGUAGUUAGAAGCAGAAAUUAUACCAGUAAACACUACAAAAGGAGUGUAAAGAACAGUACCCAAAUGGAGGAACAAGCUAGAGGGGGUUUCUGUGCUUAGAUAGUUGAAGAUGAGUGAGUAGAUUAAUAGCAGUAACUGCAGAGAUAACAACAAGAACAGGAAUAAGAAAUGGCAAAAUUAGCGUGAUUCUGAACUGGAAGGGAACUACUAGGGAGGGGCCACACCCAUUUACUGAUAAAAGAUCAGGAUUCUCCAUUUAGACGUUUUUCUAUCUUUAUUUUUAAUUUUAAAAUACCAUUUUUUUAUCCGUUUUGCAUUGUUCAUAGGUCGGAGGCUGGAGAGAGAGAGAGGGAGAGGUUCGAUUCAACCGACACCCCAC
rnacentral:misc_RNA from 1 species